rnacentral:rRNA from 1 species
ACGAACGCUGGCGGCACGCUUAACACAUGCAAGUCGAACGAGAGAAGAGGAGCUUGCUUUUCUGAUCUAGUGGCGGACGGGUGAGUAACACGUGAGCAAUCUGCCUUUCAGAGGGGGAUACCGAUUGGAAACGAUCGUUAAUACCGCAUAACAUAAUUGAACCGCAUGAUUUGAUUAUCAAAGAUUUAUCGCUGAAAGAUGAGCUCGCGUCUGAUUAGCUAGUUGGUAAGGUAACGGCUUACCAAGGCGACGAUCAGUAGCCGGACUGAGAGGUUGAUCGGCCACAUUGGGACUGAGACACGGCCCAGACUCCUACGGGAGGCAGCAGUGGGGAAUAUUGCACAAUGGAGGAAACUCUGAUGCAGCGAUGCCGCGUGAGGGAAGAAGGUUUUAGGAUUGUAAACCUCUGUCUUCAGGGACGAAAAAUGACGGUACCUGAGGAGGAAGCUCCGGCUAACUACGUGCCAGCAGCCGCGGUAAUACGUAGGGAGCGAGCGUUGUCCGGAAUUACUGGGUGUAAAGGGAGCGUAGGCGGGAUCGCAAGUCAGAUGUGAAAACUAUGGGCUUAACCCAUAAACUGCAUUUGAAACUGUGGUUCUUGAGUGAAGUAGAGGUAAGCGGAAUUCCUAGUGUAGCGGUGAAAUGCGUAGAUAUUAGGAGGAACAUCAGUGGCGAAGGCGGCUUACUGGGCUUUAACUGACGCUGAGGCUCGAAAGCGUGGGGAGCAAACAGGAUUAGAUACCCUGGUAGUCCACGCCGUAAACGAUGAUUACUAGGUGUGGGGGGGCUGACCCCUUCCGUGCCGCAGCAAACGCAAUAAGUAAUCCACCUGGGGAGUACGACCGCAAGGUUGAAACUCAAAGGAAUUGACGGGGGCCCGCACAAGCAGUGGAGUAUGUGGAUUAAUUCGAAGCAACGCGAAGAACCUUACCAGGUCUUGACAUCGUAUGCAUAGCUCAGAGAUGAGUGAAAUCUCUUCGGAGACAUAUAGACAGGUGGUGCAUGGUUGUCGUCAGCUCGUGUCGUGAGAUGUUGGGUUAAGUCCCGCAACGAGCGCAACCCUUACUGUUAGUUGCUACGCAAGAGCACUCUAGCAGGACUGCCGUUGACAAAACGGAGGAAGGUGGGGAUGACGUCAAAUCAUCAUGCCCCUUAUGACCUGGGCCUCACACGUACUACAAUGGCUGUCAACAGAGGGAAGCAAAGCCGCGAGGUGGAGCAAACCCCUAAAAGCAGUCUUAGUUCGGAUUGUAGGCUGCAACCCGCCUACAUGAAGUCGGAAUUGCUAGUAAUCGCAGAUCAGCAUGCUGCGGUGAAUACGUUCCCGGGCCUUGUACACACCGCCCGUCACGCCAUGGGAGUCGGUAACACCCGAAGCCUGUAGUCUAACCGCAAGGAGGACGCAGUCGAAGGUGGGAUUGAUGACUGGGGUG